rnacentral:rRNA from 1 species
UCUCUACGUCCCUCCCUCCCUGCAGGUACCUAACCUGACCUUCCUAACCUACGUUUGGUUACGUGUACUCCUCCUCUCUACGUUCGGUCCGGUACUGGAUUUCUACAGGAACCUCUUCUACCGGUAACCUCACAUCCCCUCUUUGUUGGAACAGGACGAGCUCCUCCUCCUCCUCCUGCUGGUGGGCUCGAGCUGCUGCUGUGCCGUUGUCCAUCGUGAGCGGAGAGAGGGUUCCACUUCCAGACUAGGCGGACAAAUCUACCAGACGAGAGCAGAAUACGUACACUCCCCUCUUCUUUCGGUAACCUG